rnacentral:rRNA from 1 species
GCUCAGUAACACGUGGAUAACAUGCCCUAGAGUGGAGGAUAAUCUCGGGAAAUUGAGGAUAAUACUCCAUAGACCAUGGAAUUUGGAACAAUCCAUGAUUGAAAGUUCCGGCGCUCUAGGAUUGGUCUGCGGCCUAUCAGGUAGUAGUGGGUGUAACGAACCCACUAGCCGAUAACGGGUAUGGGCCUUGAGAGAGGGAGCCCAGAGAUGGAAUCUGAGACACGAUUCCAGGCCCUACGGGGCGCAGCAGUCGCGAAAACUUCACAAUGGAGGCAACUCCGAUGAGGGAAUUCCAAGUGCUAGCACAUUAGUGUUAGCUUUUCUUAAGUAUAGAUAGCUUAGGGAAUAAGGGCUGGGUAAGACGGGUGCCAGCCGCCGCGGUAAUACCCGCAGCCCGAGUGGUGGUCGAUUUUAUUGAGUCUAAAACGUUCGUAGCCGGUUCAUUAAAUCUUUGGGUAAAUCGGGUGGCUUAACUAUCCGAAUUCCGAGGAGACUGGUGAACUUGGGACCGGGAGAGGCAAGAGGUACUUUUGGGGUAGGGGUAAAAUCCUGUAAUCCUGAAAGGACCACCGGUGGCGAAGGCGUCUUGCUAGAACGGAUCCGACGGUGAGGGACGAAGCCCUGGGUCGCAAACGGGAUUAGAUACCCCGGUAGUCCAGGGUGUAAACGCUGCAACUUGGUGUUGGAGACCCUUCGGGGGUGUUCAGUGCCGGAGAGAAGUUGUUAAGUCUGCUACUUGGGGAGUACGUCCGCAAGAUGAAACUUAAAGGAAUUGGCGG